rnacentral:rRNA from 1 species
ACGGUCCUAAGGUAGCGAAAUUCCUUGUCAGGUAAGUUCUGACCCGCACGAAAGGCGUAACGAUUUGGGCGCUGUCUCAGCUGUAGACUCGGUGAAGUCUUAGUACCUGUGAAGAUGCAGGUUACCCGCGACUAGACGGAAAGACCCCAUGGAGCUUCACUGCAGGUUGAUAUUGGGAUUUGAUGCAGCAUGUACAGGAUAGGUAGGAGGCAAAGAGAUGGAUACGCCAGUAUUCAAGGAGCCGCUGUUGGGAUACUACCCCUGUUGUAUUGGAUUUCUAACCGGACGACGUAGAGCCGUUGACGGGACAGUGUCAGUCGGGCAGUUUGACUGGGGCGGUCGCCUCCCAAAGAGUAACGGAGGCGCCCAAAGAUACCCUCAGCUUGGAUGGAAACCAAGCGCAGAGUGCAAAGGCAAAAGGGUGUUUGACUGCGAGACCUACAAGUCGAGCAGGGACGAAAGUCGGGCUUAGUGAUCCGGCGGUGCUGAAUGGAAAGGCCGUCGCUCAACGGAUAAAAGCUACCCUGGGGAUAACAGGCUGAUCUCCCCCAAGAGUCCACAUCGACGGGGAGGUUUGGCACCUCGAUGUCGGCUCAUCGCAUCCUGGGGCUGAAUUCGGUCCCAAGGGUUUGGCUGUUCGCCAAUUAAAGCGGUACGCGAGCUGGGUUCAGAACGUCGUGAGACAGUUCGGUCCCUAUCUGUCGUGGGCGCAGGAAAUUUGAGAAGAGCUGUCCUCAGUACGAGAGGACCGGGAUGGACGCAUCAAUGGUGGACCAGUUGUCACGCCAGUGGCAUAGCUGGGUAGCUAAAUGCGGAAGGGAUAAACGCUGAAGGCAUCUAAGUGUGAAACCCACUUCAAGAUGAGAUUUCCCAUUGCGCAAGCAAGUAAGACCCCUUAAAGACGAUAAGGUAGAUAGGUCAGGAGUGUAAGCAUGGUGACAUGUUAAGCGGACUGAUACUAAUAGGUCGAGGGCUUGACCGA